rnacentral:rRNA from 1 species
GAUGAACGCUAGCUACAGGCUUAACACAUGCAAGUCGAGGGGCAGCAUGGUCUUAGCUUGCUAAGGCCGAUGGCGACCGGCGCACGGGUGAGUAACACGUAUCCAACCUGCCUUCAACUCAGGGAUAGCCUUUCGAAAGAAAGAUUAAUACUUGAUGGCAUAACCUGGUCUCCUGACUUGGUUAUUAAAGAAUUUCGGUUGAAGAUGGGGAUGCGUUCCAUUAGGCAGUUGGCGGGGUAACGGCCCACCAAACCUACGAUGGAUAGGGGUUCUGAGAGGAAGGUCCCCCACAUUGGAACUGAGACACGGUCCAA